rnacentral:lncRNA from 1 species
CCCAACCUGGUCCUCCUGGUACCCCAAAAUAUGUCCUCCGUACCAUAACACUGGUCCUCUGUACCCCCAGUCUGGUCCUCCCGUACCCCUAACUCUGGUCCUCCUGUACCCCCAACUCUGUGUCCCAAGCACCCCCGAACAUCCCAACUCGGUCCUCCAGCUACCCCCCAUUAUCCAACUCUGGUCCUCAGUUACCCCCCAACAUCCCAACUCUGGUCCUUCAGUACCCCCCACAUCCCACCUGGUCCUCCAGUACCCCCAACAUCCCAACUUGGUCCUCCAGUACCCCCAUAUCCCAACUCUGGUCCUUCAGUACCCCCCAACAGCCCAACUCUCUGGUCCUUAGUAACCUUCCAAACAGCCCCAACCCUGGUCUUCAGUCCCCAACCCUGGUCCUCCAGUACCCCCCAACAUCCCAACUCUGGUCCUCCAGUACCCCAAACACUCCCAACUCUGGUCCUCCUGUACCCCCAACCUCUGGUCCUCCAGUACCCCCCCAACAUCCUAACUCCGGUCCUCCUGUACCCCUAACUCUGGUCUUCCUGUACCCCCAACCCUGGUUCCCUUUACCCCAACUCUGUCCUCCGUACCCCCCAACAUCCCAAUCUGGUCCUCCAUACCCCCAACACCAACUCGGUCUCCGUACCCCCCAACAGCCCAACUCUGUCCUCCAGUACCCCCAACCAUCCCAACAUCUGGUCCUCAGUACCCCCAACAUCCAACUCUGGUCCUCCAGUACCCCCCAACACCCAACUCUGGUCCUCAGUACCCCCCAACAUCCCAAACUCUGGUCCUCCAGUACCCCCCAUCCAACUCUGGUCCACGUACACCCCAACAUCCCAACUUUCCUCCUGUACCCCCAAACUCUGGUCUCCAGUACCCCCAACUCCCACUUGGUCCUCCAGUACCCCCCAACAUCCCAACCUCUGGCUCCAGUACCCCCAACACCCAACUCUGGUCCCCAAGUCAACCCCCACAAACAUUCCCCAAAACUCUGUCCUUCAGUACCCCCCACACCCAACUCUGGUCCUCAGUACCCCCCAACAGCCAACCUGGUCCUCAUUACCCCCAACAGCCCAAAUUGGUCCUCCAGUACCCACCCAACAUCCCAACUCUGGUCCUCCGUACCCCCAACUCUGGUCCUCCAGUACCCCCCACAUUCCCAACUCUGGCCUCCUAGUACCCCCAACUCUGGUCCUCCUGUACCCCAACAUCAAAUCAAAUCCCAAUCAUUUUAUUUGUCACAUAACAUGGUUAGCGAUUUAAUGCGAUGUAGCGAACUGCUUUGAAACAUCCCAAACUAUGGUCCUCCUGUUACCCACAUCCCUAAUCUGUCAUCCAUAUACCCCAAACCAUCCCAACCUGAUCAUCCAGUAGUCCCCCCCAAAUCCAAUCCUGCCACCUCCAGUACCCCCCACAUCCCAACUCUGGUCCUCCAUGUACCAAAACCAACCCGUCAUCCAGUCCCCCCAACACCCAACUGGGUCCUCCAGUUACCCCCACCAAUCCCAACUCUGGUCCUCCAGUACCCCAACUCUGGCCUCCGUACCCCCAACAUCCCACUCUGGUCCUCCAGUACCCCCAACUCUGGUCCCUCAGUACCCCCAACUUGUCCGUACCCAACAUCCCUUGGUCCUCCAUGUACCCCCACAUCCCAACUCUGGGCCUCCUGUACCCCCACAUCAAAAACCCUGAUCCUCCAGUACCCCCAACAUCCACCCUGUUCCUCCGUACCCUCCCACAUCCCAACCUGAUCCUCCGUACCCCCAACAUCCCACCCUGAUCCUCCAGUACCCCCAACAUCCCAAUAUGUCCUCCGUACCCCAUACCAUCCAACCCUGAUCCUCCAGUACCCCCCACCAUCCAACUCUGGUCCUUUCUACCCCUACUCUGGUCCUCCUGUACUCCCAACUUGGUCCUACCUGUACCCCCCAAUAUCGUGUUCCUCCUGACCCCAACAUGGUCCUCCUGUACCCACCAACUCUGGUCUCCUGUACCCCCAACUAUGGUCUCCUACCCCAACUAUUGUCCUCCUGUACCACCAACUCUGGUCUCUGUAUCCCAAAUCUGGUCCAUGUACCCCCAACCCUGGUCCUCUGUACCCCAACUAUGGUCCUCCUGUUACCCCAA